rnacentral:rRNA from 1 species
ACGUACUAACUUGCGAUAAGCGCAGAUAAGGCAGUAAGAGCCGUUUGAGUCUGCGAUUUCCGAAUGGGGAAACCCAACUGCAUAAGCAGUUACUGUUAACUGAAUACAUAGGUUAACAGAGCAAACCGGGGGAACUGAAACAUCUAAGUACCCCGAGGAGAAGAAAUCAACCGAGAUUCCGGUAGUAGCGGCGAGCGAACCUGGAUUAGCCCUUAAGCACUCGGUGAAGUAGGUGAACAAGCUGGAAAGCUUGGCGAUACAGGGUGAUAGCCCCGUAACCGACGCUUCAUCGAGCGUGAAAUCGAGUAGGGCGGGACACGUGAUAUCCUGUCUGAAUAUGGGGGGACCAUCCUCCAAGGCUAAAUACUCCUGACUGACCGAUAGUGAACCAGUACCGUGAGGGAAAGGCGAAAAGAACCCCUGUGAGGGGAGUGAAAUAGAACCUGAAACCGUGUACGUACAAGCAGUAGGAGCACCUUCGUGGUGUGACUGCGUACCUUUUGUAUAAUGGGUCAGCGACUUAUAUUCAGUGGCAAGGUUAACCGUAUAGGGGAGCCGUAGCGAAAGCGAGUCUUAACUGGGCGCUCAGUCUCUGGAUAUAGACCCGAAACCGGGUGAUCUAGCCAUGGGCAGGUUGAAGGUUGAGUAACAUCAACUGGAGGACCGAACCGACUAAUGUUGAAAAAUUAGCGGAUGACUUGUGGCUAGGGGUGAAAGGCCAAUCAAACUCGGAGAUAGCUGGUUCUCCCCGAAAGCUAUUUAGGUAGCGCCUCGGACGAAUACUACUGGGGGUAGAGCACUGUUAAGGCUAGGGGGUCAUCCCGACUUACCAACCCUUUGCAAACUCCGAAUACCAGUAAGUACUAUCCGGGAGACACACGGCGGGUGCUAACGUCCGUCGUGGAGAGGGAAACAACCCAGACCGCCAGCUAAGGUCCCAAAGUAUUGCUAAGUGGGAAACGAUGUGGGAAGGCUCAGACAGCUAGGAUG